rnacentral:rRNA from 1 species
UACGUAGGGGGCAAGCGUUGUCCGGAAUCAUUGGGCGUAAAGAGCGCGUAGGCGGCCCAGUAAGUCCGCUCUGAAAGUCAGGGGCUCAACCCCUGAAUGCGGGUGGAUACUGCUGGGCUAGAGUCCGGAAGAGGCGAGUGGAAUUCCUGGUGUAGCGGUGAAAUGCGCAGAUAUCAGGAGGAACACCGAUGGCGAAGGCGGCUCACUGGUCCGGUACUGACGCUGAGGUGCGAAAGCGUGGGGAGCGAACAGG